CCUGUCGAAAAAGGAGAUGGGAGCGCCUAAGAUGUCUGAAAAAUCAUCUGUUUGCAUCUGCAAUUUAGCACCACCCUGCAAUCUAUCAAGGACCGACACCGGCAAACAGGAGUUGAACAGAAACUACAAACCCUUUCAACCGGAACAAAGGUAUCUACACUUUACCUGUGAGCACGACAGAAUAAUGGUCGUCGGAGGCAGGUCAGUGGACCCUUCUUAUUUU